UACGAAGGGGGCUAGCGUUGUUCGGAUUUACUGGGCGCAAAGCGCGCGUAGGUGGAUUGUUAAGUGAGGGGUGAAAUCCCAAGGCUCAACCUUGGAACUGCCUUACAUACUGGCAAUCUUGAGUUCGGAAGAGGUGAGUGGAAUUCCAAGUAUAGAGGUGAAUUUCGUAGAUAUUUGGAAGAACACCGGAGGCGAAGGCGGCUCACUGGUCCGAUACUGACACUGUGGUGCGAAAGCGUGGGGAGCAAACAGG
rnacentral:rRNA from 1 species